UAUGUCAUGUUAUCGAUAUGUGAAUACAUAGCAUAUCAGAAGGCACACCCGGAGAACUGAAACAUCUUAGUACCCGGAGGAAGAGAAAGAAAAUUCGAUUCCCUUAGUAGCGGCGAGCGAAACGGGAAGAGCCCAAACCAACAAGCUUGCUUGUUGGGGUUGUAGGACACUCUAUACGGAGUUACAAAGGACGACAUUAGACGAAUCAUCUGGAAAGAUGAAUCAAAGAAGGUAAUAAUCCUGUAGUCGAAAAUGUUGUCUCUCUUGAGUGGAUCCUGAGUACGACGGAGCACGUGAAAUUCCGUCGGAAUCUGGGAGGACCAUCUCCUAAGGCUAAAUACUCUCUAGUGACCGAUAGUGAACCAGUCCCGUGAGGGAAAGGUGAAAAGCACCCCGGAAGGGGAGUGAAAUAGAACCUGAAACCGUGUGCUUA
rnacentral:rRNA from 1 species